UGCAGAAGAAGCGCCGGGCUAACUACGUGCCAGCAGCCGCGGUAAUACGUAGGGCGCAAGCGUUAUCCGGAAUUAUUGGGCGUAAAGAGCUCGUAGGCGGUUUGUCGCGUCUGCCGUGAAAGUCCGGGGCUCAACUCCGGAUCUGCGGUGGGUACGGGCAGACUAGAGUGAUGUAGGGGAGACUGGAAUUCCUGGUGUAGCGGUGAAAUGCGCAGAUAUCAGGAGGAACACCGAUGGCGAAGGCAGGUCUCUGGGCAUUAACUGACGCUGAGGAGCGAAAGCAUGGGGAGCGAACAGGAUUAGAUACCCUGGUAGUCCAUGCCGUAAACGUUGGGCACUAGGUGUGGGGGACAUUCCACGUUUUCCGCGCCGUAGCUAACGCAUUAAGUGCCCCGCCUGGGGAGUACGGCCGCAAGGCUAAAACUCAAAGGAAUUGACGGGGGCCCGCACAAGCGGCGGAGCAUGCGGAUUAAUUCGAUGCAACGCGAAGAACCUUACCAAGGCUUGACAUGAACCAGACCGCCGCAGAAAUGUGGUUUCCACUUGUGGCUGGUUUACAGGUGGUGCAUGGUUGUCGUCAGCUCGUGUCGUGAGAUGUUGGGUUAAGUCCCGCAACGAGCGCAACCCUCGUUCCAUGUUGCCAGCGGGUAGUGCCGGGGACUCAUGGGAGACUGCCGGGGUCAACUCGGAGGAAGGUGGGGACGACGUCAAAUCAUCAUGCCCCUUAUGUCUUGGGCUUCACGCAUGCUACAAUGGCCGGUACAAAGGGUUGCGAUACUGUGAGGUGGAGCUAAUCCCAAAAAGCCGGUCUCAGUUCGGAUUGGGGUAUGCAACUCGACCUCAUGAA
rnacentral:rRNA from 1 species